rnacentral:rRNA from 1 species
AACGAACGCUGGCGGCAGGCCUAACACAUGCAAGUCGAGCGAACCCUUCGGGGUUAGCGGCGGACGGGUUAGUAACGCGUGGGAAUAUACCCUUUGGUACGGAAUAGCCUCGGGAAACUGAGAGUAAUACCGUAUGUGCCCUUCGGGGGAAAGAUUUAUCGCCAAAGGAUUAGCCCGCGUUGGAUUAGAUAGUUGGUGGGGUAAUGGCCUACCAAGCCUACGAUCCAUAGCUGGUUUGAGAGGAUGAUCAGCAACACUGGGACUGAGACACGGCCCAGACUCCUACGGGAGGCAGCAGUGGGGAAUCUUAGACAAUGGGCGCAAGCCUGAUCUAGCCAUGCCGCGUGGACGAUGAAGGCCUUAGGGUUGUAAAGUCCUUUCAGAUGGGAAGAUAAUGACGGUACCAUCAGAAGAAGCCCCGGCUAACUCCGUGCCAGCAGCCGCGGUAAAGUACAGUGU